UCGACCUCCUAUCAACAGAGGAUGGUUCAAAGGAAGAUAUUUCUCUUACUGGGGAUCUCGCUCUGGUUCAGUUGUGCGGGCUCGGUGACCGUCCUCCAGACUCCGCUCGCAUUUUCCGCAGAGCCCGGCGACGGGAUGGAGCUGCAGUGUACCGCCGAUGGAGGGGGUAGCAGCCACCGCAUGUACUGGUACAGACAAUACCCGGGGAAGGAACCUCAGAUCCUCACUUACUCGAUGGGCAACAAUCUCGUGGAUCCGAAGGAAACGCCGGACGGGUUAACUGGAAAGAGAAAGGACAACCAGUUCAAGCUGACCGCCAGCCACCUGACUGCAACUCACUCAGCUCGCUAUUUCUGCGCCUGGAGUCUACACAGCCACGCGAACAGAUGGGGGAGCUCAACAAAAACCCACAACACUGAGGAAGGGCUUGACUGUCAAGAGCAGGACAGGUGCCCUGCGCUCUGA